rnacentral:pre_miRNA from 1 species
ACAACCCUGACUACUGGCAUAGUAGACUUUUCUCCAAGGCCAGUGCUCAGGGGACAUA